AGGUGUGGAACCUUCAGACUGAUC
rnacentral:siRNA from 1 species